UGGACAUCAACUGAACAUCAAGACUUGGAUAAUUUAUUUGUGGUCACCAUUGAUUAAAUCUGAUUUUGGGAUUAAGAUUAGAUUACUUCAGGUUAGAAUUGCUGAUAGGGAGAGACAGAAUAAAUUCAUUCAUUUCGCAAAAGUACAAUCUCUGCAUAUGCUCUUGCACUAAUGCUUGGGGUGGUCGAUAGUUACUUUUAGAGAAACAAACUCUUGUAUGCAUUUGGAUUUGGACUUGGACUUGGACUUUCAUUGCUUGUGACCUAAAAAGUUGAAAAUUA
rnacentral:misc_RNA from 1 species